rnacentral:lncRNA from 1 species
GUCUGUGGGAAUUAUUUCCUCCCAUUGGUAUUAGAUUAUAUUUUUCCAAGUCAACUCUUCCUGGCUGCCCUUCAAGGUUCUAAAGAUUUUCUACUGUUGUAGUGUAACUAGUAAGAGGCAAAACCAUGAGAAUCAGAGAGAACUUCCCUUCAUGAUGCUAUGCAAUCCCCAGGAGAAGCACGUUGAAAGCUGAAAAGAAGACUGACUGAGAUGUGUUGGCGGGCUUCUCAAGAUCCCUAUCGAUGGCAGAAUGCUGACAUGAGUUGCCCAUAGUCCAGGUUUCCCAAUGUAGCAGAUGACUCUAGCGGCUCCAGCUUCAGCAUCAUCUUAAGUUCAAGUGAAAAGGAAAAGAGAAUCUCUUUUUCUUCAAACAAUUUCAAACUAAAAUCUUGAGUCUGACUUUUCCUGGCCAGAAUUAAGCUUGUACUUAUCCCUGAAAAAUCAUCAAUGCUACAGUGAUGAAUUUACCAAUUGAGGCAGAAUUUAGGUCACAUGACGCUCCAAAGCCUCUUCAAAACCGCAUGACUCAGAGUGAGGCAGAAGUAUUUGGGAUAUUUGCAACAGGAGAAGGGUAAAUGAAUGGAGAGUGCCAAAACAACUUAUGUCAAUUAUACAAUUAUAAAUACAACCAAAAUAAAGUAUGGAAAUCAGUAUUUUCACCUAUCUUAAAAAAAAAA